GCUGGCCCAGCAGGCAGCUUCCCUCCCUGGACACCUUUGAGGAUUUUGAAGUCAUCCCCUCCAGUACAGAUGAACUCUCCAACUCUUCAGAUAUGGAAGAAGACACCAGCACUCAUAAUGUGUCCGGCGGCCUUUUCCGAGUAGAGGGCAGUUAUGAAACCUGCUCCCCAGAUUCACUCACCCUGGAAGAUGGCGACCUGGUACAGUUUGUACAGGAGGGAGAAAAUGGACAAUGGUUAGUAAAGAAAUUGGUUUCUGAGAAAAGCGACUGGGUGCCCUCCAGUCUUCUUCAUCCUGCAGGUGUAGAUGGUGACCAGGUUCAUAAAAAUAACAACACAGAAAUGUAUCCCAAUUCCCAUGACCCGGGGCUAACAGAUUCGAAAAGGAAGGAGAACAACCUGGUGCAAAGACUAUCAGCCGUGCAGAAGGCUGAGAGCUGAGCCCACCUGCCUCUGCCUGCUCAGACCACCUCCUCCAUCCAUCUCUUACCUUUGGUUUUACUUUUGGCAUUUCCCUCUCCUCUCCCACCCCAUUUCUAUCCCAUUUCCCUGGAUACCGAAGUCUGCCUGGAUUUCUGGGAAACUCCUGACUCCCAGACCUACUGGAACCACUCACUCUGGUCAAUAAGUGGAAGCAAAGGAAGCCUUUUUCAAGAUCCAAGACAAAAGCCAAGACUUCUUGGUUGUUAGUGGAGCCAUCCAAGAAUGGUGGCUUAAAUUUGGUCCCCCACCCCACGCCCAAGUGAUGUGUUAGCCAGGGCCUGGCAGUUUGGUGAAGCUGCUGGGAUCAGAUCAGUGGGGCUGAUUGCUGCUCCCAGGAACACUCCUUUUCUUCACACCAAGCAUCAAUGAUGCCCCAUCCUUCAUUAAAAUUUCUCACCAAAGUGAUCCCUGGGGAGCAGGGGUGGAUUUGGGACAUCAGCUGGCCCUUUUGUUACCCUGGCACCAAAGCCAUUCAGGACGGCCAUUAGCAAGGAGGCCAGGGGCCCCGCUCAGUCUUGAGCCUUGUUAAUGUUUCCCAUUGGGAGAGGCUGACUGCCAGUCAUCGUACUCACCAAUAUCUCCCAGAGAUGUCAGGGUCUGGCCUAUCCUCACACUCACAUCUGUUACAAAUGUGGAGAAAUGGUGAGGGAGGAAGCCCUUCUGGCAGGAAUGUGUCCCAUCCUCAUUCUUGUGUCUUGUGUAUGGAUGGGGACAAAUGGGCUGUAUAUAGAUCCCAAGCUGCUGUUCUAUCUGGAACAAGUGUCAUGGUGCUAGGAGAGUAGGGAGAGCCUUGUACCCCAAUAUCUAGGAGAAGAAAAUCUCAUUGGAGAGGAUGUUUCAUGAUCAUCACAAGGAUGGAGGGAAGGGAAGUAUAAAGUCAUCAUUUCUAUCUGUGGGGAAACUUCCUGCAUCCCAGGAUAUUUAAUAGCCAUCUUCAACCCCAUCCUUCCCUUAUUUC
rnacentral:lncRNA from 1 species